rnacentral:rRNA from 1 species
AGUGAGAAUGUUGGCAUGAGUAGCGAGAUGUGGGUGAGAAUCCCACAGGCCGUAAACCCAAGGUUUCCAGGGGAAGGUUCGUCCGCCCUGGGUUAGUCAGGACCUAAGCCGAGGCCGAAAGGCGUAGGUGAUGGACAACAGGUUGAUAUUCCUGUACCACCAAUAACCGUUUGAGAAAUGGGAUGACACAGUAGGAUAAGCUAACCGCACUGUUGGUUAUGUGCGGGCAAGUAUUGAGGCAGUUCCGAUAGGCAAAUCCGUCGGAAUAAUGCUGGGGUACGAUGCGGAGCGAAAUUUAGUAGCGAAGUAGCUGAUUUCACACUGUCGAGAAAAGUCUCUAUCGAGGUUAAAGGUGCCUGUACCGCAAACCGACACAGGUGGGUGAGGAGAGUAUCCUAAGGCCAGCGAGAGAACUGUUGUUAAGGAACUCGGCAAAAUGACCCCGUAACUUAGGGAGAAGGGGUGCCUUCGAAAGAAGGCCGCAGAGAAUAGGCCCAAGCGACUGUUUACCAAAAACAUAGGUUUCUGCUAAGUCGCAAGACGAUGUAUAGGAGCUGACGCCUGCCCGGUGCUGGAAGGUUAAGGGGAUCUGUUAGAGCAAUCGAAGCAGUGAACUUAAGCCCCAGUAAACGGCGGCCGUAACUAUAACGGUCCUAAGGUAGCGAAAUUCCUUGUCGGGUAAGUUCCGACCCGCACGAAAGGCGUAACGAUUUGGGCACUGUCUCAACAACAGACUCGGUGAAAUUGUAAUACCGGUGAAGAUGCCGGUUACCUGCGACAGGACGGAAAGACCCCAUGGAGCUUUACUGUAGCUUGACAUUGAGUCUCGGUGCUACAUGUACAGGAUAGGUGGGAGACUAUGAAGCAUGGACGUCAGUCUGUGUGGAGUCAUCCUUGGGAUACCACCCUUGUAGUACUGGGAUUCUAACCAGAGGCCAUGAAUCUGGUCUUGGGACACUGUCAGGUGGACAGUUUGACUGGGGCGGUCGCCUCCCAAAAAGUAACGGAGGCGCUCAAAGGUUCUCUCAGUACGGUCGGAAAUCGUACGAAGAGUGUAAAGGCAAAAGAGAGCUUGAUUGCAAGACAUACAGGUCGAGCAAGGACGAAAGUCGGACUUAGUGAUCCGGUGGUUCCGCAUGGAAGGGCCAUCGCUCAACGGAUAAAAGCUACCCUGGGGAUA